rnacentral:rRNA from 1 species
CAGCCGCCGCGGUAAUACCGAGGGUGCGAGCGUUAAUCGGAUUUACUGGGCGUAAAGCGUGCGUAGGCGGCUUCUUAAGUCGGAUGUGAAAUCCCUGAGCUUAACUUAGGAAUUGCAUUCGAUACUGGGAAGCUAGAGUAUGGGAGAGGAUGGUAGAAUUCCAGGUGUAGCGGUGAAAUGCGUAGAGAUCUGGAGGAAUACCGAUGGCGAAGGCAGCCAUCUGGCCUAAUACUGACGCUGAGGUACGAAAGCAUGGGGAGCAAACAGGAUUAGAUACCCGUGUAGUCCCUGUCUCUUAUAC